rnacentral:tRNA from 1 species
GCCUCUGUAGCCGAGCUGGUAACGUGCUCGGGUUACCCGUGUGAGAGAUGUGGGUUCGAUUCCAACCAGAGGCU